GACGAACGCUGGCGGCGUGCUUAACACAUGCAAGUCGAGCGGAGCGGCGAACGGGUGAGUAACGCGUGAGUAACUGCCCCCCUCUCUGGGAUAACAGUUGGAAACGGCUGCUAAUACCGGAUAGUGGGGGAUGACUCGCGUCCUAUCAGCUUGUUGGUGGGGUAGUGGCCUACCAAGGCGACGACGGGUAGCCGGCCUGAGAGGGCGACCGGCCGAAGUGGUAUGAGAUCCAGCCAAAACUCCUACAGGAGGCAGCAGUGAGGAAUAAUGCACAAUGGGGGAAGCCCUGAUGCAGGAACGCCGCGUGCGGGAUGACGUCCUUCGGGUUGUAAGCCGAUUUAAGCCAAGACGCGGUAGUGGCAGAAGAAGCACCGGCUAACUACGUGCCAGCAGCCGCGGUAAUAC
rnacentral:rRNA from 1 species